AAAUGAGAGGAGAGAAAGCAUUUAGAAAAUGAAAUCAUAUAUUAUAAAGAAAGUUGAACUCAAUAUGCAAAUCCUAAGAACCUUGACAUAGCCUUCAGGAUACAUAUGAGAAUCUCAGGAAAGGGUGAUUUUUAAUGAAAUUACAAUACCCUUUGGAACUUUAAAUCAAGCUCAGAUUGGCCCACCCAACAUGUGACAUCUGAAUGAAACCAGACGUUCUCUACUCCAGCACUGGAAGAGAAGAAUGGCCACAGUUCUUAUUGUUAAUGGGUUGAAAUGAGCCGCUUGAUGAGAGGAAAGGUUGCUAAGUUCUCUGUAAAUCUGAAUCAAUGCGCUCCAG